rnacentral:snRNA from 1 species
GUUCUGACUAGGCAGCACAUAUACAAUAAUUGGAAUGAUACAGAGAUUAGUGUGGCCCUUGACAAGGAUGACACACAAAUUCGUGAAGCAUUAUGUUCAU